rnacentral:rRNA from 1 species
UACAGAGGGUGCAAGCGUUGUUCGGAAUCAUUGGGCGUAAAGGGCGCGUAGGUGGUAAGGUAAGUCAGAUGUGAAAUCCCUGGGCUUAACUCAGGAACUGCAUUUGAUACUGCCAUACUAGAGUGCGGUAGAGGGUAGUGGAAUUCCCGGUGUAGAGGUGAAAUUCGUAGAGAUCGGGAGGAACACCAGUGGCGAAAGCGGCUACCUGGACCGUAACUGACACUGAGGCGCGAGAGCGUGGGGAGCAAACAGG